rnacentral:rRNA from 1 species
UACGUAGGAGACGAGCGUUGUCCGGAAUUACUGGGCGUAAAGCGCGUGUAGGCGGGUCCGCAAGGCUGCUGUGAAAGCUCCUGGCUUAACCGGGAGUGGUCGGUGGAAACUGCGAACCUGGAGGACGGUAGAGGUAGGUAGAAUUCCCGGUGUAGUGGUGAAAUGCGUAGAGAUCGGGAGGAAUACCUGUGGCGAAGGCGGCCUACUGGGCCGGACCUGACGCUGAGACGCGAAGGCGUGGGGAGCGAACGGG